AGGGUGCAGAGUGUCAGGAAGAGGAAGAGCGAGGGUGUCGCAGGGAAAGUACUGGUCUGUGCUGCGUGUGGGAAGUGACUUUAGUGGCGGCGUGAAGGCGAGGACACGAGUGAGGUGCUGGCAGGCUGACUGAGAACGUCAUUGUACGACAGAGUAGCCAGCUAAACAGCCGAGCCCUCAGCGUGCGCCUCCCGCCGGACAAGGGACCCUACAUCCAACACUACCUCAUUGAGAUCCACAACGAAGGCUCCUCCUACUCACUCCAAGCUUCUGAAAACUGCUUCGACACCCUUCCUUCGCUCAUCACCUAUUAUUCUCAGUGCUGCGAAGAGUUGCUGGCUCAGCUCAAGCUUCCUCGCACCGUCCAGGAGGCCAAGACCCGCCAUGAACUCGGCUCUCUCUCGCUGCUCGGACAAGGUGGUGCAUCACAGCGUCAGACUCACAGAGGAUGUGUAGCCGAGGCAAUGACACGUGGACGGCGCUGAUGGCGGCCAGAACCUCUUGGGCGUCUUGGUCACACACGGCCAGGCUGAGCACCCCCAGGUCCCGCCACUCCUGCAGCAGCUGUGUGCCGGCACCACUUAAGUGACCCAUGAACCUCUCAAGAAACAGUUGGCCUAAAUAAUAAUGGCAGAAGUAAGACUAAGCUUUGAAGAAAGAACAUGUCAUAAAGUGUUACUGGAGGCACGAAAAUGUCAAAAGUGCAAAGACAAUUCAGAAGACACUUUGACAGGGAUCCACCAAGGUGACGCGCCAUUGCUCGCAUCACAGCUAAAUUUGCAUCAACAACCACCACCACCACCACCACCACCACCACCAGCAUGGCAGUAGUAGCAGGAGUAGUGAAUGGUCACACGUAUGUGGUGACUUCUUGGACUAUCAGGCUGCCCUUGUAGUGUGUUGGACUAUCGGUCAACAAGGAGACCUGAAAGUUACGUGGUACAACUAUUUUGGUGAUAGUAGUGGCUGUAAGUAGUAGUAGUAGUUGUAGUAAUAGUAUUAGUAAUAGUAGUUAUGCGUGUAAUGUCAAUAUGGUCCAUUUUGUAACUGUAAUUGCAAAGAUUCUCGACUUUGUUUCUUAAAGGCGUGACGUAAUUAGAGAAAACGUAA